CCCUGGGUAGUGUAAAUGGUCAACACAUUUGGCGGCUAACCAAACGGUUGGCAGUUCAAGUCCACCCAGGGG
rnacentral:tRNA from 1 species